CUGUGAAGAAGCUGUGAAAGGAGAGCUCAGCAGGCAGGGAGGAAAAAGAGAAGGGAAGAAGCAGCUGUUGCUGAAAGAAAAAGUCCUCUGGUUCAUUUUCUUCAGCCAGGAGAAUGCAAUCAGCACUGAUGAAAUGAAAAGCCGGGAGAUGGGCAUGUCAUAAAGGAGGUAGUUGCCCCUGGGCACAACUUUCUGACAAAUCAGCUGGAUCAAUGUCUUUGAGAGGAAGAAGAGCAGCAGCAAAAAGAAUCAUCUGCACUCUGAUUAGAAAAAAACAUAAAUAAAAAAGAUAGAUGCCUCACUACAUGUAAAGCAAAUAGAGAAAAACUAAAAAAAAAAUGAGGAUUGCGGUGAACUGGAGAUUUCUUCCAUGAGAAAAAGCAUAUGUUUUAUCUGAGUAAACAAUGGUAUGAAAGCUCACACCCAUGUAUACAAUUCUUUCUAGUUAUUGCCAUCUGAUUUAAAUUGAAUAACUUCAAAAAAAAACAAAUCAGAAGAGAGGAAUAAUUAGUUUUACUGCACGAAUGGAAAUAUUCAGAGAAGAAAAGGAAAACUAUGGCAAGCACUUAAGAAAAAGGAAUACUGCAAGGACAAUUGAGAGCAAAGUUGUGAGCCAGGACUUCUGGAAUGCAGAAGUUGACUAAUGGCCAGAAAAAGGAAGUGAUCAAGAACAAGAAUUCCAUAGUGAUCUGUGGUUGUCCUGAGAUGGCCCAUCACAAGCCCCAUCUGAAUUUUUCAAAUUUCUAUCCCAUUCUGUAUUAUAAUUUCGGAGUCUUGAUUGUGUUCUAUACUUUUGAAAAGGGAGCCGGGAGACAUGCAAAUAUUUUUUCCAAUUCCAAUUGCACAUUUAAAAGUAAAUAAAAUAAAAUGGAUAACCGCA